UUGUAUAAAGGAUAGUAGUGGAAAUCCUUUUCCGGUGCGUCGCAAUGUAAAAGACUGCAACGAAUAGCUUGGUAGCAA
rnacentral:sRNA from 1 species